rnacentral:rRNA from 1 species
GGAUGCGAUCAUACCAGCACUAAUGCACCGGAUCCCAUCAGAACUCCGAAGUUAAGCGUGCUUGGGCGAGAGUAGUACUAGGAUGGGUGACCCGAAGUCCUCGUGUUGCAUCCC